rnacentral:rRNA from 1 species
UACGUAGGGUGCGAGCGUUGUCCGGAAUUACUGGGCGUAAAGAGCUCGUAGGUGGUUUGUCGCGUUGUUCGUGAAAACUCACAGCUCAACUGUGGGCGUGCGGGCGAUACGGGCAGACUGGAGUACUGCAGGGGAGACUGGAAUUCCUGGUGUAGCGGUGGAAUGCGCAGAUAUCAGGAGGAACACCGGUGGCGAAGGCGGGUCUCUGGGCAGUAACUGACGCUGAGGAGCGAAAGCGUGGGGAGCAAAAGGG